UUCCACACAACAAAUUAAUCCAUGUGAAUUGAAUUGACUGAGCAAGACACAAGAACCAUAUGUAUUUCCACAACAAAUUAAUCCAUGUGAAUUGAAUUGACUGAGCAAGACACAAGAACCAGGCAGAUCCUGAUAAUGUAUGUUAUUAUAGCAGUCUAUUAACCAUAUCAAAAAAGUCGGAUGUUAUAGGAUUCAAAAAGAAGUGCACAAUAGCUAUCUCAAACCAGUUACACAAGUGCACAAAAAGAAGUCGGAUGUUACAGAACAAAUCAUCAACAUUCCAACAAUAGCUAUCUCAAACCAAUUACAGAGAGCUCCAAAAAGAAGUGGAUUUCUCCAGAUCACCACUAGCCCUCGUCGGGUUCGGGCCCACAUAAUCAAAUGCACUUGCUUGACAAUAGGUUCCAAAAAGAAAACAGGCCUUGCGUCACAAAGUAGUAAGGUCUUAUCCAUGAGCUAGCCCUCAAUCUGCAAUAAAACAGAAACAGUAGAAUGCAAAGUUUAGCGUGGUUUGGUAACUGUUUCUGUUUUUUACUUUCAUUUUUUUGAAAUCAUAAGCAAAAAAUCACAAGCUCACAUCAUAGUUGAAAUAUAUGCUGUUUAAUAUACUUGUGUUACAUUCAUGAAUUUGAAUAAUUAAAAUAAGUUUUUUAUACUUCAAAAUGAGAGUCUAAUUGACACCGGUGUGUUGAGAAAAGGGAAGGAGGAAUAUCUUACUACAAAUAGUCUUAGGAUGUUCUAGUAUUUGUUGUAACAAAAUUAUAUAUCCAUUUUUGUAGCAACACAUUAGUGAUAGAUAAGUUAGCUCAACUACGCAACUGUCUCGGGAUUUAACUCCACCUUUGUUACAAGGCUUUAAAUGGUUCCUGAUAAAAACAAAAUCAUGUUCAUUCAUAGUAUGUGGUAAAAAUACAAACAAGUCUCGAGUCAGACUUAUUGUUACUAUUUUUGUUAUGGAAAAUCCCUAUUCUAAUUUGAAUCACUUAAAACUGAACAUCACGGAUUCAUGCGACACUAAAACAACUAAUAAAAAAGCCAAUUUAGUUUCUCCUUAUAUGAUGUACUACUACUUAGCUAGAAGAGCCAAUUUGAGGUUAAAAUUCAGCAAUAAGGUUUGUAGAGGGCCUAGAGGCAUUAGAAUAUUAAGAAUGGCUGAUGAUUAGCUGGAGCCUAAAGCAGUGUAUCCCUAGAAGAAGGUGAAGGGUCAGAUAAUUGAGCUCUUGCAAGUUGGUGAGCAAUAUGCCAGAAUAUUGAUGCCUUGAAAUUAAGAACAUUUUUUUCUUCUUCAAAAUUCUAUCUUCAUGGAGCUGUAAGCUAGGACGACAUGGGAGCAAUAUUACAUUGGGUCCCUGCAGGCUGCAAAUCAAGAAAGAAUAUAUUCCUAUCAAUGGGCACCUGCUCAAUUUCAACAAACCCCAGAAAAGAUAUAUAAUACAGAAGAGAAUAUAUUACUAUGUGAAACCCAUCAAAUUGAUUAAAAAAAUUCUCAUCAACAACACAUCCCCAUUUUGAAUCGAUAAAACAUUGAUAAAAAUUUCUUCAUUAGCAUCUCAUAUGAAAAGCAGUAUAAAAACUAGAAAUUGUUAAUUACCUGCGUAUUGGAUGUGAUUAGGGGCAGAUUAGGGACUGCGUAGCGUUGAUGGAUCCGGCCUUCCAGCGUUUUGGCACUCAAACUACUCAGAAUCUUAGAAUCGGGGAGAGAGAAUCGGCAGGCGCAGGGGAGAGAGCAUCGGGGUGAGAGAGAGAGAGGGAAUCGGCAGUAGCGUUGUUUCCCCCUUUUUAUUUUUUGAGACCCGCCUCAUGUUUUAACCCAUUUUGUGACCCGCGUGCUUUUUUUG
rnacentral:lncRNA from 1 species